rnacentral:rRNA from 1 species
GACGAACGCUGGCGGCGUGCUUAACACAUGCAAGUCGAACGGAAAGGCCCUGCUUUUGUGGGGUGCUCGAGUGGCGAACGGGUGAGUAACACGUGAGUAACCUGCCCUUGACUUUGGGAUAACUUCAGGAAACUGGGGCUAAUACCGGAUAGGAGCUCCUGCUGCAUGGUGGGGGUUGGAAAGUUUCGGCGGUUGGGGAUGGACUCGCGGCUUAUCAGCUUGUUGGUGGGGUAGUGGCUUACCAAGGCUUUGACGGGUAGCCGGCCUGAGAGGGUGACCGGCCACAAUGGGACUGAGAGACGGACCAGACGCCUACGGGAGGCAGCAGGGGGGAAUAUUGCAGAAUGGGCGGAAGCCUGAUGCAGAAACGCCGCGUGCGGGAUGACGGCCUUCGGGUGGUAAACCGCUUUCGAAUGUGACGAAGCGUGAGUGACGGUAAUGGGUAAAGAAGCAACGGCUAACUACGUG